GAUGAACGCUAGCGGCAGGCUUAACACAUGCAAGUCGAGGGGUAUAGUUCUUCGGAAUUAGAGACCGGCGCACGGGUGCGUAACGCGUAUGCAAUCUACCUUUCACAGAGGGAUAGCCCAGAGAAAUUUGGAUUAAUACCUCAUAGUAUAGCAGUUUCGCAUGAAACCACUAUUAAAGUCACAACGGUGAAAGAUGAGCAUGCGUCCCAUUAGCUAGUUGGUAAGGUAACGGCUUACCAAGGCAACGAUGGGUAGGGGUCCUGGAGAGGGAGAUCCCCCACACUGGUACUGAGACACGGACCAGACUCCUACGGGAGGCAGCAGUGAGGAAUAUU
rnacentral:rRNA from 1 species